GAUGAACGCUGGCGGCGUGCCUAAUACAUGCAAGUCGAGCGAACGGACGAGAAGCUUGCUUCUCUGAUGUUAGCGGCGGACGGGUGAGUAACACGUGGAUAACCUACCUAUAAGACUGGGAUAACUUCGGGAAACCGGAGCUAAUACCGGAUAAUAUUUUGAACCGCAUGGUUCAAAAGUGAAAGACGGUCUUGCUGUCACUUAUAGAUGGAUCCGCGCUGCAUUAGCUAGUUGGUAAGGUAACGGCUUACCAAGGCAACGAUGCAUAGCCGACCUGAGAGGGGGGAGGGCCCACCGGGAAACUGAAACCGGGCCCAGACACCUCGGGAGGGCGCAGGGGGGGAUUUUCCCGAAGAGGCAGAAGGCCGGAGGGGCCAACGCGGGGGGAGGAAGAAGGGUUUCGGUAUCUAAAACCUUUUUUAUGGGGAAAAACCAUAUUUUAAAUAAACGGUCCAAAUUUGGCGGGAACCUAACAAAAAACCCCCGGCAAACCCCGUC
rnacentral:rRNA from 1 species